AGCAGCCGCGGUAAUUCCAGCUCCAAUAGCGUAUAUUAAAGUUGUUGCAGUUAAAAAGCUCGUAGUUGAAUUUCGGGAUUGACGUGAUGGUCAUGCCUUAAGGGGUAUGAACUGUUACUGUUGAUUUCUCACCUUCUGGAGAAACUUGAUGUCCUUUAUUGGGUGUCUUGCGGAUCCAGGACCUUUACCUUGAAAAAAUUAGAGUGUUUAAAGCAGGCAUUUUUGCUCGAAUACAUUAGCAUGGAAUAAUAGAAUAGGACGGCAUGGUUCUAUUUUGUUGGUCUCUAGGAUCACCGUAAUGAUUAAUAGGGAUAGUUGGGGGCAUUAGUAUUCAAUUGUCAGAGGUGAAAUUCUUGGAUUUAUUGAAGACUAACUACUGCGAAAGCAUUUGCCAAGGAUGUUUUCAUUAAUCAAGAACGAAAGUUAGGGGAUCGAAGACGAUCAGAUACCGUCGUAGUCUUAACCAUAAACUAUGCCGACUAGGGAUCGGAUGAUGUUAAUUUUUUAAUGACUCAUUCGG
rnacentral:misc_RNA from 1 species